AUUGGACUUAGAAAUUAAAAUAAGUGAUGAUCAACUGUAAAUUUUGUUACAUUCUAUAUUUCAUGUUCAUCUUAAUACAAGGAGGAAAAUUUUAUUUUUAAUGACUCGAAUCUCCUAUAAUUUGUUCAAACCUUUAGAGGAUGAAAACCCCUGGCUUAGGUAACAUUAGAUGCAGAUUUGACAGGUCAUAUUUUACCUAACUAAAUAAGACUAAGAACAUGCAUUUAACAUUUGAGUCUACUUAUAUUUAUCUAAUGGUUCCAAUUUGCUGAUUGUGCAAAUGCUUGAAAAAUCCAACUAGGGAGAAUCUAGAUCUCUCAACAGUCAACUCCUAAAGAUUCCGGACUCCAGAGUUUGAUGAUCUUCCCUGGCAAUCCCACCAGCUGAAAUCAUGGUAAUAGCUUGCUGAGAGUGCCUUUUCCACUUUUAAAGGGUGUGGCAGCUGAAUUGGAAUCUCCAGC